rnacentral:lncRNA from 1 species
UAUGAACUUGUUUUUGCUUGUUUCACGUAGUAUAACCAUUAAUAGUUAUGUGCUUCAAAGUGGUAGUGUAACUCAGCCAGGAUGAAGUUCGAAAAGUUGUCUUAUCCCAUGUAAAGUGGAGGAGGCGAGUGUGUGUUUGUGUGUGUUUUUGUUUGUGUGUGUCCGGGAGUCCGUCUGUGUGUGCGUGCAUGCACGCGCGUGUGUGAGGCGGGAGAGAGAAGAUGAUGAAGAGAUGGAGGAUGGUAGACAUAGUAGGGAGACCAAACACACACAUGCUUUGUAUUCACAGGUGCAAUCAAAAAAAUGCCCGUGGCAACGCACGGGCACUUUACUAGUUUUAGUUAAACGAUAAAAAUAUCAACCUUUUAUGUAAAUUAUAUGUGAACUUGAAUGAAAUCCAUCCGGUUUGAUCGAAUUUUGUCCGAUUGAUUCAAAUUAUCGGCCCAAUAUAUGCGACUAGCAUUGGAUGUUGUCUUCCUGCAUCUGUGUGUGUGGACUUGUUCUCUCUGUCCGUGGGCAGAUGCGAGAGAAAAAAUUAUGGGAUGUCGUUGGAGAUGCACUCAUGCAUGAAGCACCGUCAAAGUAUAACUACAGUUUCCCGUCUGAUGUAUUUUUCAUAAGUGCAUCUUUAACCGUACCAGCAAGACUUCUAGGACCUGAC